rnacentral:rRNA from 1 species
GCCAGACUCCUACGGGAGGCAGCAGUGGGGAAUAUUGCACAAUGGGGGAAACCCUGAUGCAGCGACGCCGCGUGAGUGAAGAAGUAUUUCGGUAUGUAAAGCUCUAUCAGCAGGGAAGAUAAUGACGGUACCUGACUAAGAAGCCCCGGCUAACUACGUGCCAGCAGCCGCGGUAAUACGUAGGGGGCAAGCGUUAUCCGGAUUUACUGGGUGUAAAGGGUGCGCAGGUGGCAGGGCAAGUCAGAUGUGAAAGCCCGGGGCUCAACCCCGGUAUUGCAUUUGAAACUGUCCGGCUAGAGUGCAGGAGAGGUAAGCGGAAUUCCUAGUGUAGCGGUGAAAUGCGUAGAUAUUAGGAGGAACACCAGUGGCGAAGGCGGCUUACUGGACUGUAACUGACACUGAGGCACGAAAGCGUGGGGAGCAAACAGGAUUAGAUACCCCGGUAAUA